CUUUUUUUUUUGUGCGUGUCAGCCAUGCUAAUAUUCCUGUGUAGUUUCAAUUUUAUCGGAUGUCUCUGAAGAGACUAGUCCCUGUACUUUGUAGUUGGUCCAACUUUCCCCCUUUACUUUGAAACUCGACAAUUAACCCUCUAUAUGCUUGCAAUACCAGAUCAAAUAACCCUCAAGUGUACCCCAUAGUGGUUUUUAUCAUCUACAUGGCAGCCAUCUCAUCAUAUACUGAAUACGAUUGCCGUUGUCAUUGCCACAUAGAUCCCUCUCUCUCUCUCACCUCCAGCAGUAGCAUCAAUGAUUGGUGGCUUCAAGCUAGCAUUGAAUUCUGGUUUGUGUUGGUGUGGUAGCACGGAGAUUGACAGGCGGUAGAAGUCAAAUGCGAGGAAGGCUGCAUUGACAUUGCGGGUGGGAAGUGAAGGGAGGGGAGCAGCUGCUGCACAUCGGCACAUCCAUCUCUGAUCGAUUUGGUAGCGUCGCACCUCCUUGCCCUGGGAUCACGCGCCGGAUUCGGGAGGUCCACCCGGAUCGAUCGAUCGGCUGAAAAUUCUGGGCGCUGCUUCCCCCAGGGUCCGGAGACGAAGGAAUGGCUGCCGCCGGGUACGGAUGAGGCCAAGCAGCAGCCAGCAGGCCUCUCCGUCGCGGCGGCCGAAGACAGCCCUCCAAACGGACCUAGUGAUGGAGGGCCAAUCGAGGUGGGAGGUUGGAGAAAUGCGGCGCCGGAUCCGAGACAAAGCCGCUUUGGGGGAAGAAUCGUUCGACUGGGUUAAGGUCUCUCAGUCUCGCAACGGUAAAGGUCUAAAGGUUAACCGCUUCGAAUUGCCUUUACAGUUGCUUAAUGUUGCCUCAUUGUGUGCGCAAAACUGCAAAUUACCGAACGAGGUGUCCGAAUACUACGCCCUUUCCAACAUUGGUACGUGCUUGAGUUGUCACUUGUUUGGCGUUCAAAUGCUAGUGCACAUGUCUGAAGUUGUUUGGGUCCGGUACAAUGCUGGCCACAUUAUAUGUAGCACUACCCUGGGAAAAUUACAAAUGGAUUAUGUAGCAUGCAUAUACUAUAUUACUAUGGAGGAAUGGUCUACAGUGAACUGCUCUUUAGCAAGAAUCAUCUUGAAAUAACUCCUUAGCAUGUUUACCUGGCGCAAUUUAUAUUGUGAGACCAUGGUUCAUUUGUUGGCUAAUGGCCAUCAGUAUCCAGCUUUUCAACCUGGCUUAGGUGUGAACAAGUAUGCUAUUUUAAAGCAUAUAGCAUCGCUACCUGAAGUUCCAUAUGGGUGAUAGGAUUUCUAGAUUGACACUGCAAAGUGCAAACUGCCGACGUUCUCUAGUAUUUCCCAUCAUCUUGGAUAGCAUGAAUAUUGAACAUAAGACAUGUUCCUCUUCUGUUUUUCUACUCGCAGGACUUUAGUCUUAACUAUUUAUGUCUAGCAUUUCAAACUAUAUUUAAGCUUGUACGAAUUGUCCUGCUCGUUGGAGCCCCUUCAGUGAGGCUUCAGUUUUCUAUUUCGGAAUUGGGGCGUCUGUUUGCGUUUUUAAAUGGUUGGCUACCAUUUUUAUUUCUUUAUUCUUACUCUAGGACGUCUGUUUGUGUCUUAAAUCGUUGCCUAUCAUUUUUAUUUCCAUAGCCAAACAUCUUUUUUUAGUUUUUCUAAUGCUAGGUGAAAUUAAAACUGAUACGAGGAGAAGGUCGAUGCCGGAGUCCAGCAUCAGCAGCUUGAGUGUGGAGCUCCGGAUCCUAGCUCAGCAGUGAAGGACCACACUACAAGCACUCCACAAUGCUGGGAGGGGAAGACGACUGGGAAGAUGAAGUCUCUAGAUCAUCAGAACACAAAAUGAAGGGAAAAGAGAAUCUGCUCAGAGUUCAGCAAAUGGCCCUUUCGAGCUGAAAUAAUAACGAAGAUGACUGAGAUGAAGAUUGGGAUGAUUAGAUUGCAGCAAAAAUGAAAAAAAUUCUAUUGUUUGCUAUGCGAUCAGAGAGAUUUGAGCCAUCUGUUUCAAUACUACCCUGUACAGGUAGUCUAGACUAAGGAUGACAUCAAGGACACAUUUGUUUGACAAUGCGAGACGAUAUAGGAGCUGGAGUCUGUAGGCUGCCCUUACCAUGUAGUUUGUGCAAUAACAUCUUCUCUAUUCAGUUGGUUUCAGAACUGAUACACGUAGUCACGUACUAUUAUUUGUUGUGGCUUUAUGAAAAUGUGUUAUACUCCAGCAACAGUUGCUCAAUUACAUGUAAAAAUAGCACUGUUAUCCUUUCUUUUCUGCAAUUCUUUCGCAUGACAAUUCUCAUCUCUGAUGGAUUCCUGAACUCCAGAUCGUAAGAUUCGUCAUGCCAUCUUCGAGGCUUUACCACACCAGACCCUACUGCACUGCCAUUGUAAGUACACUUAUAAGUCUCUAGUACAGGCAGAUCUCUUAUGUGAUACUGAUUAGUUUGUACCUUACUGAACAUAGUUGAUACACCAUACAUACUAUUUUGUUCCAUGCUGAACUGGCUUGUCCGUGAAAUCACUCUGACGUUUUAUACAUUAAUACGUAGAACCAAAUGCAUCUCUUAUGCAAGCCUUGAACCUUUUUCACCGUGUUAAUCCAGAUAUUACAGAAUUGAGCUCACUACUGUUAUUUCUGGUUACUGGGUUAGUGUGCCAACGGGACCCUACAUUUAUUAUUCUCUGUUAUAGAUGUGUUCCCCGAUCCAUAUGUGCUUGUAAAGCUUGCGGGAGUCUACAACUCUACAUAUAUGAUAGUGUCACUUGGGAGGUGAGAGGAAACAGUUCUGGCUUCCCACUCUGUAGGUCAGCACAGCCCACAGGUCCACACAUUCCUUUCAUCUUUUUCCUCUAUGUCUCUUUGCCCUUUACAUGAUGCCUACCCCAGCUGUCCUGUUUUGGGGCUUUUUGUUCAUUUAAUCGUUGUUAAAAUUGAUUAUAAACAUGAACUAGGUUAAUGUAAUACCAAUGAUGCAAUCAUGUGAAUCCUCUCCUUCACCAUAUGUCCUUGCAUUUUAAUUGUCAUAACCCCCAAUCUAUGUUCUUGGGUCAUUGACUCAUAAUAGACCAUACUGAAGUUUUUUGGACUACUACAAUCAUGCAAAGGGGUUUGUGGUGUAACUCACAGUAAAACCAUUUGUUUAGCCUAAUUUUGAAAUUGCAUUUUCCAUCCAUUGUAAGAAACUACAUAUUUUGACUAAGAUUUGAUUAUUUGAUACUUCUAGGGUGUCAACAUACCAUUUAUCAUUUCCCCUCUCUAUUCUGUGCAAUUUUUUAGUAUUAGGAACUAUUAUACUUGAUAUUGGGUUCUGUUUUGUAUGGCCUGCUGAGUUUUUGAACUUCUAGAUCUGCAUUUUCUCGCCAUCACGUCCCUUAGGCUUAGCCCUCAGGCGUGGUGCCUGGUGGGUACACGAGUGUUGCUCUCCUUUGAUGAUGUCUGCCCUUCUGCAGACUUCACUUGAUAUGAGCUAUUUGCAACAAUAAUUCACAGUGCAUGAAUUGCACUACGACGAUCUAUAUGCGUAUCAAUUCCUGACCAUAUCUACAUUUUCAUAUCAUCAGUGCUACAACAUUUUACCAACUACUAGAACAUGUUGAGAAUCUGAGAUAAGAUUUGGUGAAGGGCAUGGUUCUGUCUGAGAUAGUAGGUAGUCUUCUUGUGACUAGCAUGUUCUUUCUUGUAUUAAAGAAUAGGAUGUACAGUAAUGCAAUUAUUCUACAUGGUCAAUUGUCAUUUGGCUUGUACUUCACUAGUCACUAGCCUGAUACCUUGCUUGAAGCUGGUUCACAAUAGUCGAGUAUACUCUCCAACAUUAAUUCCUCUACAUGACCUGGAAAGCUGCGGCUGAUGCUCUAACAUUUAGAAGUUUCUGUUUACUGUUUUCUGCAGGUUCUUAGCCCUCUCUUUGGAGAGCCUUCUGGUUAAACUUACUUAGCUGAUUAUGUAACUUUGCAGGAGAAAGAAGAUGCCAAAGGUGCAAUCUCUCACAAUGCUCACGUAUUUUGAUUUGCUUUUGUUCCUGAUCUAAUCAUGGUAAGAAUGGCAGGAAUGAUAAGCCUUUUGCUAUCUAAGCUAAACAGAAAUCAUGUGUUCUACUUUUGUAUGUUAUGCAGAGGAACUUUGGGGCAGGUAAACCAUGUGCCUAGAAUGUGAAUUUUGCACUUGAAGUUCAAGUGGUAGGAAUGCACUGGCAGUGCUUUUUUAAAACAACAUGACCAGAUAAUAGAUCCUUUUUAUUUUGUCCAGAUUCUUUUCUUUGCAGAGUUCAGAUUCUCGCAAUUGUCUAUAAUAAUCUGCUAGUGUUGUUCCAGCCUUGGCUUUAAAAGUUGUUGUUACUCUUUCUCCCACUGUUACUUCCUGCUCUCUUUUUUGAUGGAUAUUACUUGCUCUCUCUUAUAGAAACAAAUCAAAUACAAGUUGAUUUGUGUGCAAUGUAAUACAUCUUAAAAUGAAGUGCAAACUUUACAGCUGAUGCCUGAUACCAGUUUCCUCUAUAUAUGACCGCAUUUUCUGACAGAAUUGACUGGUUCUUCCAUAUUUGAGCAAACACUAUGUCACCUAACAAAGUGUCCAAACAAACCUGCACAUGCCACCUCUCCACACAAAGUAGCUACAGACUAUAGUUAGUGUUCUGUAAAGUCAAUCAGUAGAAAUCUGCUGGUAACAAUACCAUAGUUUAAAGCAAGGUUGCAGAGCCUACUAAUGAAUGAUUCUUUGUGAAAAGCUACAGGCAUCUGCAUGUGGGUGUGGAUCUCAGAAGGUAACUUGUGAAGAAAGACUAAUUGAGAUUGCAUUAUGAGCGACAGCAGUAACACAGGCAGCCUGUGGGGGACACCAUCAGCGAGCCUGCAUGAUUCUCCCCUCACCACAAAGCGUUCCGGUUUGCCCUCCUGCCACUCUUAUUAUAUCCUACCUUUCUCUCCUACUAUGUAUCUUAAAUUCUUAAUCCCUUGCAUAAUCUAUCAUAUGGCACAGUUGCAACAACGACGCCGUAUCUUGGAUCCACAUGUCAGUAACAUAGUAUUAUAUAUUGGAGUGCGUAUAGUAUACUGCUAGCUGAAUGUCAAUUAACUGUCAUUGGCUCAAGCCCUUUGUUUACUUCUACUUAAUAGAGGGAAAUUACAAGGGCAUGCCAAGGAAUCUGAUAUCACUUGCAUGUAUAUAUUUAGGGUGUGUUUGAUUGAGGAAUUAGGUGUGAUGUAUCAACCGAUCAUAACUUCGGAUCUAACUCACUUGUUUGGU